UACAGAGGUCUCAACCGUUGUUCGGAUUCAUUGGGCGUAAAGGGUGCGUAGGCGGUCGCGCAAGUCGGAUGUGAAAUCUUAGGGCUCAACCCUGAAACUGCAUUCGAUACUGCGUGGCUCGAGUACUGGAGAGGAGACUGGAAUUUACGGUGUAGCAGUGAAAUGCGUAGAUAUUCGCAAGAACACCAGUGGCGAAGGCGGCUCACUGGCCCGGUACUGACGCUGAGGUGCGAAAGCGUGGGGAGCAAACAGG
rnacentral:rRNA from 1 species